rnacentral:rRNA from 1 species
UACGAAGGGGGCUAGCGUUGCUCGGAAUCACUGGGCGUAAAGGGUGCGUAGGCGGGUCUUUAAGUCAGGGGUGAAAUCCUGGAGCUCAACUCCAGAACUGCCUUCGAUACUGGGAGCUCGAGUCCGGGAGAGGUGAGUGGAACUGCGAGUGUAGAGGUGAAAUUCGUAGAUAUUCGCAAGAACACCAGUGGCGAAGGCGGCUCACUGGCCCGGUACUGACGCUGAGGUGCGAAAGCGUGGGGAGCAAACAGGG